ACAUUUUGGCAGAGCAUGUACUAAAAUGGGUACAAUGUAGAGAAGAUUAGCAUGGUCUUAAACAGGGAGGACACACAAAUACAUGAUGUUUCCAUACUUUUU
ensembl:snRNA Gm25160 predicted gene, 25160